CAUUUUUGGUCGCGUCCUUUUUAUUGCCAGUUAAAAUCAGUGUUUUAUGAAAGUUAGAAGGUGUUUUUUAUAAUUAGUAAUACAAUAAUCGUAAAAUAUAAUAAUCAGUUUAUCAGCAUAAAUGAAAGCAUCACUGAAUUUUACCGGAAAAAUCGUUUAUUUCUUUUGGAAAAAAUUUUCUAUCAGAUUGGUGGUUAUGUUGUUUGAAAAGAAAAUAACGAUUCUAAGUUUGUUUACAAUUCGAACAAAUGACUGUCAUGAUAAAAACAACUCCGAUGUUUCUUGCGACGACAAUUUGGACUCAUUUCAUAUAUGAACGCAGCUAUUUUUAUUUUAUUCGGAGGAUUGAAUAAGGUACUUGGACCAGGAGACGAAAAAUUUAUCUGUUUGGAGAGAGUAAAAGAGAAAGAGGAUAUGCUGUCAUCGUAUUUCUGCCACGAGACAUGGAAAUCCGUAGUGAUUCUAUCCUGGAUGGCUGGCGGUG